UUACUUAUUUGGACGGGGUUGAUGGGCAAUCAGUUUAGUCCAUGGCCUAGGCCGGUAGUUUUCAUUGCACUCGGAAGGUGCAUCUGCCUAAGGACUCCUCGAGUGGGAGAGCCUUCAUCAUUAUUUGUGGCCGUGGUGGUGUGUGUUUGUCCGGCCGGCCC